CAUACCGCUAAACUCUUCUCACAGAGAGGCUUGUUGAUUGGCUAAAUUAGUCCCUUCUUUUGUCACAUGGUAUAAAGUUCAAAUAUUUGAACAAACAAUUCUAUUGGUUGUUAUGUCCCGCAAGCAGGAUUUUAACUGCAAACAAGGAGAAACAUAUCUUUUAACAAAAAUUUGUGCAAGGAAAAAAACCCACCUAGACAUCCGAUGUGACCCUGCUUCAAUUCAGUAUUUAUUUUAGCUCGAUCUCUAAGCUUCCUCUGAUACAGAGCAUUGAUCUGGUUUAUCAGUGGUGGUGUUACUUAACAGGAAUUUAACAAUAUCUUGUCCAAAUCGCAGCCAUUUAUUGACUGGACCCUGGUAAAUAGUCACCGAGCGGGCGCAGACAGAUCUCCAAGGUUGUCACAAACCCAAAGUAAUUAACUAUACCAUACACCCCCAAUAGGCUGAAGAAGGGAGAGGUAUGAGAACAAAACCGAGAACUGUGAUUGGUGGAUCUCAAGACCAUGUGAUUAGCUUAUUCUAGAAGAGAAGCAAAAAAGAUUAGGGUAGGAAAUUGAUGCGGAACUUGACCUCUCCUCCACUGCUCUCUUGUCUGCAAAUAAGAACCAACCGACUCUGGACAUCUACUCGCCUCUUCAGAUCGUAUUACAGACUAAUUUCCGUCUUCAAUCAAAAUUUCUGACAAUUGUGGCAUGUUCUAAGUCCUCGUCCAAAAACAGAUUAUAAACACAAACAUCUGAGAGACCUAGACUGAAAAGUACGCAAGAUUUUUGGCCUCCUACUGCUGUGCUACAAAGAGGAGCUAUAAUUACGAGUCUUUUUUUUUGACCUCAUAUUGAACUGACGUCAACAGAUCUUCCUUAGGAAUUGACAUUUCAAAUGGGAGAAAAACAAAGACCAUUGCUGUAUUUGACAUGUCUAUACGGUAAAGUGUUGUCAGCAAUCAUAGAAAGAGUUGUGUAAAAUAAGAACAGAAUACCUGUGUUAGAUAACUCAUACAGUGACGGAAAAAAAAAACCCAACAGUGACGAAAGAAUAAAGUAGUUUUGAUAAAAGAAAAUUUAUCAAGUAUAUGAAGCAAGGAAAAUAUAUCUGAUGAAUUUGAUGACAGCACGUAAGAACUACGCCAUCUGAUCAUCAACAGAUAACACAAUCAUCGGAAGAACACGGCGGUAUUCUUACAUAC